GAUGAACGCUGGCGGCGUGCCUAAUACAUGCAAGUCGAGCGAACGGACGAGAAGCUUGCUUCUCUGAUGUUAGCGGCGGACGGGUGAGUAACACGUGGAUAACCUACCUAUAAGACUGGGAUAACUUCGGGAAACCGGAGCUAAUACCGGAUAAUAUUUUGAACCGCAUGGUUCAAAAGUGAAAGACGGUCUUGCUGCCACUUAUAGAUGGAUCCGCGCUGCAUUAGCUAGUUGGUAAGGUAACGGCUUACCAAGGCAACGAUGCAUAGCCGACCUGAGAGGGUGAUCGGCCACACUGGAACUGAGACACGGUCCAGACUCCUACGGGAGGCAGCAGUAGGGAAUCUUCCGCAAUGGGCGAAAGCCUGACGGAGCAACGCCGCGUGAGUGAUGAAGGUCUUCGGAUCGUAAAACUCUGUUAUUAGGGAAGAACAUAUGUGUAAGUAACUGUGCACAUCUUGACGGUACCUAAUCAGAAAGCCACGGCUAACUACGUGCCAGCAGCCGCGGUAAUACGUAGGUGGCAAGCGUUAUCCGGAAUUUAUUGGGCGUAAGCGCGCGUAGGCGGUUUUUUAGUCUGAUGUGAAAGCCCACGGCUCAACCGUGGAGGGUCAUUGGAAACUGGAAAACUUGAGUGCAGAAGAGGAAAGUGGAAUUCCAUGUGUAGCGGUGAAAUGCGCAGAGAUAUGGAGGAACACCAGUGGCGAAGGCGACUUUCUGGUCUGUAACUGACGCUGAUGUGCGGAAGCGUGGGGAUCAAACAGGAUUAGAUACCCUGGUAGUCCACGCCGUAAACGAUGAGUGCUAAGUGUUAGGGGGUUUCCGCCCCUUAGUGCUGCAGCUAACGCAUUAAGCACUCCGCCUGGGGAGUACGACCGCAAGGUUGAAACUCAAAGGAAUUGACGGGGACCCGCACAAGCGGUGGAGCAUGUGGUUUAAUUCGAAGCAACGCGAAGAACCUUACCAAAUCUUGACAUCCUUUGACAACUCUAGAGAUAGAGCCUUCCCCUUCGGGGGACAAAGUGACAGGUGGUGCAUGGUUGUCGUCAGCUCGUGUCGUGAGAUGUUGGGUUAAGUCCCGCAACGAGCGCAACCCUUAAGCUUAGUUGCCAUCAUUAAGUUGGGCACUCUAAGUUGACUGCCGGUGACAAACCGGAGGAAGGUGGGGAUGACGUCAAAUCAUCAUGCCCCUUAUGAUUUGGGCUACACACGUGCUACAAUGGACAAUACAAAGGGCAGCGAAACCGCGAGGUCAAGCAAAUCCCAUAAAGUUGUUCUCAGUUCGGAUUGUAGUCUGCAACUCGACUACAUGAAGCUGGAAUCGCUAGUAAUCGUAGAUCAGCAUGCUACGGUGAAUACGUUCCCGGGUCU
rnacentral:rRNA from 1 species